GGUCGUGUGGAGUUUGAGAAGCGGAGAAAUUGGCCUCGCCGCGAAUGAGAUACGCCGGAGUACAACGCCCAAAUCGGCACAUGAAUGGACGUCCGGAUGGUGACGUCACGCUCGGCCAAUCAUAAAGCGGCUGUAUGGAACGUGUCACUCAAAUCAAGACGUUUUCAUCCCGAUUAACAGAGCUGGAGAUUCCCGGUGACCCACAUCUAAUGAGUUCACAUUGCUGCCUGACCCAGCCAGCCCUCAGCACUUGGACUCCAUCGGCAGCAGCAGCUACCAUCACUACGUGACCCACAUCUCCAUGGUAACAAGUCCAAAAUGGCACCCGGCACAUGGAGAGCUCGCAGAGGAGUGAGAGUGAGUUCACGCAGACAAACGGCUCAGGAUUAGGGUGACUUUCUGCACCCGCCCUCCCGUGCCACUCUACCGGCGAAGUAGGCCAUACUUCAUUGUUUUCCUAUCGAGAUGACAUGCAAAGCUGCCAUUUUCACGCCAC